UUUGUCUCUACUCAGUACAGACCCUUAAAGCUGUGCAGACUGUGUUAGUCUUUUCCAUCUGUUCAUUUAACCAAGGUGCUGAGCAUGUUUGCCUCCAGAGGAAGAAACAUAGGCAGCUGCAAGAGAACAGGUAUGACCACGAGCAGACAACAGCACUCAUUUGGGUAUCAAGGACACAGAAGAAAAUGAACUCCAGAGAUAGCUCCUGCCUUACAGCUCUGCAGGGGACACUCAUGUGGACUCCCCAAGUUAGGGAAGAUGUGGGUUUCAGAAGCUCUCAAAGCUUUGUACCCAAGUCUGCUUCUGAAUGGAUCAUUCUGACAGAUACUGAAGGGCACAGAUUUGAGGUGGUGGGAUUUCAACACCAUGGAAGAUGGUAACAUCAUAUUCUUACAUCAACUGAAAUAAUGGGGGAAAGGGGAAGUCUUGAUUUUUCUUGGCAUGAUUGAAUGAGAAGGGGGGUAAAACAUGACAAAAAAGCAGCUGACAGCCAUGUCAAAGAUUUGGCCUUUCCUGCACUAUGAAAAAGGCUUUUAAUUACUCAGCUCAGCCUGGACCAGAGAAAUCCUCAACUUAAAAGUUACUGCCUGAAGAAAGAGAUAAUAAGGAUGAGGGGCUGGGGGUUCUCUUCCUCAGUGUUUCCCUGACCUAUGUGCAUCAGAUGUUGGACUGCAAGGGCAAGUCCCAUUUUGCCCACUGCAGCUUGCGUCAUGCACAGCCUGAAUGCAGGGCAAGAUCUCUGCAGGAGUGAUACCAUGGGGCUACAGCACAGCAGCCAAGUAGCUGGCAUUGGGUAAAGAAAGAAUGAUAAGAACCAUAAAUGUGUGCCACAUCUCAGCUACUACCUCCAUCAGGUGAUGGAAGAUGCUGCCAAUACACACUCAUAUAUACUAUAAAUGUUAGAACAUGUGACAUAGAAUCAUAGAACAGUUUGGGUUGGAAGGGACCUUAAAUUUAGUUUCAACCCCCUGCUGCGAGCAGACACCUUC